rnacentral:rRNA from 1 species
AUGCCAUCCUGGAAUGACGAGGAGAGCUCGGACGAGGACAUCAACAUGGUUUCACUGGAUCAACAGCUCUUUGAAACCCCUGAGAGUGUGGUGGAACCAUCUUUAUGUGGUUCUUACACUGAAUCUGAGUCGACGUGCAUGAUGCAUCAUCAGAGGCCGAAGAAGAUGGUGGCUUUUCAAGGUGUGAACUGUGGGGUUGUGGAGUGGGUGGAUGGUCCUUGGCCAGAGAUUCUACAAAGGUGCCUAACCAGGAUUUGGGACAUGUACCAUGAGCAGAACUUGGGGAGGGUGGAUGAAAAACAAGCCCAUGAGAAAGAGGUGGCCAAGCUACAGAAGGAAAUUGAUUUCCUGUCAAACAACUACAGCCAGUUGGUGGAAGAUGUAUCCAAGCUAUUUGACUAUCAAGAUGGCAAGAUGUCUCAUGACAUGGACUAUACCAGUCAGGCAAUCAAUGAACUAAAUGAGAAGAAGAAACAACUUGAGGAUCAGGCAAAGAUUGAGUUAAGUAUGGAAAAGCUGAAGCUUGCCAAGGAGCAAAGGUGCAUUCUUCAAAGCCAAGCAGAGAUCAUUCAGAACAUGAGGAAGGCCAUGAAGGAAGUGGAGGGGGACAGGGACCUACUUAAGAAAGAGAAGAAGAAGCUAGAGUAUCUGAUUGCUGAUCUGCUCAAUGUUGGGCAUGGCAGCAAAGAUGAGGAUCAAGGCAAUUAUGAAUGA